rnacentral:rRNA from 1 species
ACGCACGCUGGCGGCGUGCUUAACACAUGCAAGUCGAACGGUGAAGCCCUUCGGGGUGGCUCAGUGGCGAACGGGUGAGUAACACGUGAGCAACCUGCCCCUGGCUCUGGGACAACCACUGGAAACGGUGGCUAAUACCGGAUACGACCCGCCUCGGCAUCGAGUGUGGGUGGAAAGUUUUUCGGCUGGGGAUGGGCUCGCGGCCUAUCAGCUUGUUGGUGAGGUGAAGGCUCACCAAGGCGACGACGGGUAGCCGGCCUGAGAGGGCGACCGGCCACACUGGGACUGAGACACGGCCCAGACUCCUACGGGAGGCAGCAGUGGGGAAUAUUGCACAAUGGGCGAAAGCCUGAUGCAGCGACGCCGCGUGAGGGAUGACGGCCUUCGGGUUGUAAACCUCUUUCAGCUCCGAAGAAGCGAAAGUGACGGUAGGAGCAGAAGAAGCACCGGCUAACUACGUG